rnacentral:lncRNA from 1 species
CCUAGGGGCGGAGCUUUGGCGGGGUGGCGGAGCGGGUGGGUCCUUGCUGCCCUAGACAGUCACUGGCCAGAUGGCUGCGGUGGUGGCUGCUGGCAGGUGGAGGGUGAAAAGAUUUCAAAAAUCGAUAUUAAAUUAUUAAAAUCUGGCUGCUUAGGAAUUACAAUCAUAGAAGAAAAUAAUGCAAAAGGGAAAUAGAACGAGUAUCUUUGAGGGAUGGUGAAGGAUGAUCACAGUGGCAGAGAAGGCUUUCCCCCUCCCUGCUUGGCCCAGCUGGUGAGGAACUGGUGCAGUGGUCCAGAACCAGUGGCGGUGAGGUGGUGUGUGGAGGGAGCUUUUCCUUUGAGAUUCUUAUGGUGA